rnacentral:tRNA from 1 species
GGAGGGUAUAGCUCAGUGGUAGAGCGCAUGCUUAGCAUGCAUGAGGUCCUGGGUUCAAUUCCUAGUAUCUCCA